AAGGAGGGGUGAAAUUACCAAAUUACCCCUGGGUCGGUGUUCACAGUAUCACACUCUCAAACACAUUUCGCACUGGUUAGGUCAUCCACUUUGGAGCUGAAGCAAACGAGGCGAUCCAAUCGGCGCUUGAGGGGAAGAAGAACGACGACAGAAUUGACAUUGGUACGCCACCGGAGUUCAUAUCGUCGGCGACCCUACAACUCAGGCUCUCAAAGAUCUGGAAUUUAAAGUAAUGGCUUCCAUAUGUACUUCUCCACGUACCCAAUCCAAAAACAAAGGCAUUGUCACAGACAAGUCAAGCAGUCUUGAAGAGACACAUAAUCAGUUUAGCCACAAUGCCUCAUGGGACAGUGACUCAAUACGAGUUUUCCUACAGUUGAUUGCAAAUGAGAUUACAAAAGGAAAUCGCACAUUCCUAGUCCUCAGCCAAGCAGGGUACAAGUCCUUGGCAAGGAAAUUUGAGAAAAAAACAAGAAGAAAACAUGGCCUGAAACAGUUGAAGAAUAAAUACAUGAGUUUGAAAAAAGAGUGGCAAGCGUGGACAAAGUUGAUGGAUUCAAGCAAAGGAGUGUCAGGGAUAGGGUUUGAUUGUGACACCGGUAUGUUUCAGGCACCUGAGGAGUGGUGGGACAAGAUGGAAUCGAUAAGUGCAUAUAAACAAAGUGUGUGCCAAGUUCAGGAAAAAAACCUCGGAACAUCGUGACUUGAUGGAGACGGUCUUCAUAGGGGCAUCAACUGCUGGUAAGCACCAUUGGACCCCGAGAGAGAAACUUUCUGAAGCUGAUGACUCAUCUGAUUCAGUGCAUAGUUUGGGAGCCCAGCCUUUUGCUGAUCCGAUACCCGCAAGAGUACAGGACGUAGAUUCAGAUUCUUCACUAGAGCAUGUUCCGAUUGAAAAGGGAAAAAGGAGAAAGACACCAUCAACAAGUGUUUCAAAGUCGAAGAAGACAACAAGUGGAGCGUCAGUUAUUGCGGAAAGCAUAAACAAUCUAACAGAUGUGGUGCGUACGAAGAAUCAGCAGGUUACGGUGAGGCACCUCACAGGCAACGAAUCGCUGUACACUAUUUCGGAGUGCAUGCAUCGCCUGAUGAGUAUUCCAUCCCUGAUUGAUACGCCGCUAUUCCAUUUUGCCUCGACACUUAUGGAUAAUGCAGAUUACCAGGAGGUGAUGAUGUGCCAGCCUGAUGAUGACCACAUCAUAGGGUGGCUUACACAAAAGCAGCUCCAGUGUAUUGCGUAGGCGCUGUUUGCGAACCUGUUUGGGGUUCACCGGAUGUGAUGUAGCGGUGUUAGGAUUGUUGAAGAUGCCUACUGUCACGACCCAAACCCGCCCUGAGAAGGUUUCGCAUCAACGAAGGUAGUGAUGAAUCCCUGAGAUGGAAGCAAUAAUGACGAUUUAAGGGAAAUGCUUAAUCAAAUGGCGGUCCAAGUGCAACAAGAACACAACUGGACAUUUCGAUGCGACAGAAUGGUACGAAAAACACAUGGCUAAAACGCCAUGUCGCACUUCGAUAUUGAUCGAGCAUGCAUGGAUAUGCGAACUAUAUGCGGGCCAUAUGGGUCGAUUUGAGGAAAAUGUUUGCAUGCCGAAGGAAGUUUUUGCCAUUUUGUGUGAGACAUUAGUAAAUGAUUUUGGGUUACAAGUACCGCAACGUCCACAUGGCUUAACUGUUAAAGAAAGCGUUGCAAUGUUUCUCCACGUGUUGCAAGGGAUGCAAAAUCGGCAAAUCCAAGAACAUUUCCAACAUUCGGAGGAGACAGUGUCUCGGCACGUGUAUAACGUAUUAACUUCUAUGAAAGAGUUCACUGUUGUUCAUUGUCGGCCCACAUACAGUCAGCAUCAUAUACAUCCAUACGUGCAGUCUAGACAGAAAUACCUACCGUUCAAGGACUGUAUUGGCGCAAUAAACGGAACACAUGUAAGUGCAUGGGUUACGGGACCAGAUACGGCAACAUAUUUCGGUAGAAAAUACUGUCACACGCAAAAUAUCAUGGCCGCGGUCGAUUUUGACAUGUGUUUCAUCUUCAUUUUGUGCGGAUGGGAAAGAAGUAUGCAUAAUAGUUGCAUCUUUAAUGAGAUACUUACAAAUGACAAUGUCCCAUUUCUACAUCCUGACGAAGGCAAAUAUUAUCUUGUCGAUUCUGGCUAUCCAAACCGGAUAGGUUACUUAGCACCAUUCAGAGGCAGUCGUUACCACCAACAAGAAUUCUGACGUAUUCAACGAAACAGGACGGCAAACACGCCAAGGGAAUUAUUUAACAAAGUUCACUCGUCGUUACGCAGUGUGGUGGAACGCACUUUCGGUGCCUGGAAAAAUCGAUGGGGGUUUAUUCGAGACAUGCCUCGGUAUGACUUUGCGAAUGUGCAAGUUCAGUUAGUAGGUGCGUCAAUGGCAUUACAUAAUUAUAUACGGCGAAACACAGGUAAUCCAACAACUAUUCACCUAAUCUGUGACAAGGAAGAGGCUAUUACAAUAGUAAAUGCCAUACCAGAAGUUGAACAUGACGAGGAUAGUUUAAUGGUUGGGGAUGAAGACCCGCAUAUGGCAUUGGUGCGCCUUUGCAUAUGUGACAAGUUAUGUUACAUGCGUAAUAACGGAACGUUAGGAAAUAUAUAAUAGUCGACAUAAUUUUCGUAAAGUUGUAACAUUGGUAACACACGUGGAACAGACUAUAUUAUUGUAUAUUAUCAUGUACAAUAUGUAUGUGUUUACACGGGAAUAUACCCCAUUUUAGUUGGUGACGUGCCUAACUUCGAAAAACCAAAAACUAUAGAAAAAGCCUUUUCGAAAAAGAAAACAAGGUGAAACAAAUAAGAAAAAAAAAAAACUAAUACAGAAAUUAUCAUGUGCGACGUCAAGUAAAAACAUAAAAACACCAGUUCAAAACAACAAAAAACCACAACUGUUCACCCAUUUUUUGUCAUGUGCCACGACAAUAUAUGAUUUUUCACAUCAUUUUAAAUGAAAACAGACAUAGAGAAAUUAGCAUUUGUCACGUAAUUUACAAAUAAAUAAAACACAUGAAACCCGAUUUUUGAAAUAUAAAUGCAAAUUAAUGUAUAUAUCAAAAAAUUUGACAGAAUCGUAAAUUUAAAAAAAAGAAUGACAAAAAUACGGCUCAUCCAAAAAAUAAAAACCAAAAAUUUUAAAAACAGAA